AGUGAACGUUGGCGGCGUGGAUUAGGCAUGCAAGUCGAGCGAGAACCGUAGCAAUACGGGGACAGCGGCGAAAGGGACAGUAAUGUGUAGGUACCUACCCCCGGGUUCGGGAUAGCUGCGGGAAACUGCAGGUAAUACCGAAUAAUGUCUCCGGACCAAAGGUGUGAUUCCACCUGGGGAGGGGCCUGCAUCCUAUUAGCUUGUUGGGGGGGUAACGGCCUACCAAGGCGACGAUGGGUAGCGGGUGUGAGAGCAUGACCCGCGUCAUUGGGACUGAGACACUGCCCAGGCACCUACGGGUGGCUGCAGUCGAGAAUCUUCGGCAAUGGGGGCAAGCCUGACCGAGCGACGCCGCGGGCGGGAUGAAGGCCUUCGGGUUGUAAACCGCUGUCGUAGAGGAGGAAACGCAGGAGGGUUCUCCCUCCUGUUUGACCUAUUCUAGGAGGAAGUACGGGCUAAGUUCGUGCCAGCCGCCGCGGUAA
rnacentral:rRNA from 1 species